CCCAGGGCUGGGGCACCUAGGAGGGCCUUUUUUAACUGAUUAAAGGCAAUUUCUUCUUUUUCAGCCCAUUUAAAUGUUUUCCCCUCUUUGGUAGCUUCAUAUAGGGGCCUGGUGAUCUCAGCAAAACCCGGAAUCCAGAGGCAGCAGUAGCCAGCCGAUCCUAGGAAUUCCCUUACUUCCCUUUGGGAGGUGGGAAUAGGGAUCUUCAGGACAGUUUCUUUUCUGGCAUCUGAUAACCGCCGCUGUCCACCCUCCAGGAUGUACCCCAGCCGCUGACUCCUUAGAGAGCUGCAAAACGUCUACAGAGGACCUAAGAGAAUUAGACGUCCUGGGAUAUAAAGUCUCUGCAAAGAAGGUGCAGAUUUGCUUGGGCUCUGUAAUAUACUUGGGCUACCAACUGCGUGAAGGCUCUGCAACAUACGCUGCCAGCUAUCCAUGACGUGAUAAAAGAAAGCCGUAAAGAUCCCCCCCCCCCCCCCCCCAUGAGACUAAAUCAUCACAUCAAGAGAUCGGACCUGGAGAUUGGGUCUGGACACAGCGCCACACCUCGCCUAACCUAGAAGCUCACUGGACCGGGCCUUAUCCCAUCAUCUUAUCUACCCCAUCAGCAGUGAAAGUGGCUGGACAAAGUCAUUGGAUCCAUCGCUCACAGACCAAGGCCGCCCAUCCUGAUCACAUUCCACAAGAAUGGACACUUCAGCAAACAGGAAAUCCUCUUAGGGUUCGACUAAUUAAAAUCUCCUGACCUUCUACUUGAUAAA